ACCCCCUGGUCCUCCUUCCCAUCGAAGCUCAACACUUCUUGGUAGUAAAGGAGGAAGAACAAUGCUCAAGCUGGCCUUACAUGAUUGUUGUUUGGUUCGUAGCAUGUGGGCUAGAUUUAAACAGGG
rfam:Neotoma lepida isolate 417 scaffold_1348, whole genome shotgun sequence.